rnacentral:rRNA from 1 species
UGGGGAAUAUUGCACAAUGGGCGCAAGCCUGAUGCAGCAACGCCGCGUGGGGGACGACGGCCUUCGGGUUGUAAACCUCUUUUAGCAGGGAAGAAGCGCAAGUGACGGUACCUGCAGAAAAAGCACCGGCUAACUACGUGCCAGCAGCCGCGGUAAUACGUAGGGUGCAAGCGUUGUCCGGAAUUAUUGGGCGUAAAGAGCUCGUAGGCGGUUUGUCGCGUCUGCUGUGAAAAUCCGAGGCUCAACCUCGGACCUGCAGUGGGUACGGGCAAACUAGAGUGCGGUAGGGGAGAUUGGAAUUCCUGGUGUAGCGGUGGAAUGCGCAGAUAUCAGGAGGAACACCAAUGGCGAAGGCAGAUCUCUGGGCCGUAACUGACGCUGAGGAGCGAAAGCGUGGGGAGCGAACAGGAUUAGAUACCCUGGUAGUCCACGCCGUAAACGGUGGGAACUAGAUGUGGGGUCCGUUCCACGGAUUCCGUGUCGCAGCUAACGCAUUAAGUUCCCCGCCUGGGGAGUACGGCCGCAAGGCUA